rnacentral:lncRNA from 1 species
AGUGAUUCAACCGCGCCACCGAGCGCGGAGCUGCCCUGGAGGACGCAGGCGGGUCUAGUUGCCCGGGUCCCCCAAGGCCCCCGGAUUCACCCAGGCCCGCGACUCCGACGUGCAGCUUAGGUGGGUUGCAGGUCUAUGGCAGGAAAGGGAGGGCGCCUUGGAAGAAUUCUUCCCUUCCAUUUGGUGAUAAAGUGGGAGAGGCGGCAUUUACAACAUUUAAUAGAAAGCACGGGCUCUGGGCUCCCCUCGGGCAGCGGAGGGCAUUUCCCGGAUGCUUUGCCCACCUGGGGCAGAAGCUCGGGACCUGCAGCGAAGUAAACGUGUGGCUGUGAGCAGGGCCCUCUCCCAGCCACGGUGGCUUCUUCUACCCCACGAAGGUCAAGAAUACCUGGCCUGCCCACCUCGCGGGGCCCUUAGCGGGUCGCACAGGAGAAAGGCGGUGGGAAUGCCGGUGUCAGCCACGGUGUGACCGGCUCGGCUCACAGGUCUGAGGGUCAGUUGGCUCAGGCAUCGCCCGGUACGACCAGAGAUAGUGACUGAGGAAGAGCAGCCUCACAUCUGGCAGUUUGCCUCUGGGAGAAUUCCAGCGUGACAUCUGCAGCUCUGUGGUUCCAGAAAGGAUGGUUCCCACAUUGAAGAAGACAUCUGUGGGACUGAGUUCCACCGAAAUGCAGAGGAACCAAAAAUGAAAAUGAAAAAUGUAACCAGAGUUGUGUGCCACUAGUUUUAAGCUUUGGUUUUUCUAAAUUAUUUUCUGGCUUCUCCUUCUGGGCUUUGCUGUAAACUUGCCAAGCAUGAGAACAACUCUUCAUCUAUUGAGUGGCAUUUUAAGCCAUCCUGUCAAAGUAUCUCCUGUCAUUUUUAUUAUUAUUACUCUAUAUUGCCUGCAAGACACGACUGGAGAAUUCUUAGUCCUAGUUAACAGAUGCUCCAAAUUUUGAGCCUGUAACCCUUCCAAUCCCUUGCUGCCUUUGAUGGUGAUGCUCCAUCCUAUUAUACCAACUCCACAUUGAAGCAGAA